CAUAGUUACUGGAUUCCCGAAAGGAUUCACAUUUGUGAAGAAGCCUUGUAACCGAAACUAUCAAAGGGGGAACAAUUAUUAUG
rnacentral:sRNA from 2 species